GGUUACAGGGCCAGCAAAGGAUCCAAGCAAGACCAGUCAGAGUCCUUUUCAGAGAUUGAAACAGACCAAUCCUGGGAGAAAGAAAGAAUCUCUCCUCUUCUGGGACUGUAAGCGUUGUGGUAGACAGUUAUUCUCAGUAACCCAGAAUCUAAACCACCAUCAGGUUUCAGGAAUUCACCACCUUAAAGGAAGAACCAAAACACCCUUCUUUCUGUAAGCCCCAUGAGAAGCUCAUCCAGGCUGGUCCUGGGCAAAGCUGGAAGGGAGAGAACCUAAAGAUCUGGCCCAUCUGUCCUUCACUGCCGGCUUCCCUGCAGUCCUUUUCCAGAAACCACACCCCACAUUCUCAGCCUAUCAACAGCGUCCUGGUGACCAGGUACAUUCUCAUUCUAUCAUGAGAUUGCUGAAAACUAAAGAAGGCAUCAAGACCCCCACAUGAAUUUCUACUGAUACAAUUUCAGACCUGUGCAGGAAAAUAUUUAAGACAGAAAACGCUUUCUCGAGAGGGUGCCUUCAAAGUUCCCGGAGCUCUUGUCCCUCAGCUGACUCUCACAAACCUGAAACCAAGUGACCCGGCAGCUGCGGGCUCCUCCAUUGACUCAGGCUUCAUCAGAGAGCACCAUAAGUGCCGUAUCUCCUGCUUCAGACCACCUGAGGACCAUUCUACCUGUAUUAUUCAUCUGCUAGGGCUGCCAUAACAGAAUAUCACAAUCCUAGCACAUAAAAUAUGGAAGAGGUCCUCCACAAUGGAGAAAACUAUUGGGGAUAUGCCUUCUGGAGUUUGAUCAAGGAAGAUGGACACAAACAGAAAAGAAAAACAGUCCAGAGGAAGCUGAAGGGUCUCCUACAUUGCACCAGAUGCUGCAGAUGGGGAGGACCAUUCCACUGGAUGCAUUCGGGACUGUAAACAGCAGACUGUGAGUGCGGCAGGCAGGGAUCACCCAGGCUUGACAACUCAACAGAGUUGUUCACUUUGAGGGAAGCUAGUUGCCUUGCCAUGAAGACACUCAAGCAACCACACAGAUAGGUUGAUGGCAAGAUGGAAGAAGCUGAGGCCUCCAGCCAAUAGCCAUAUGAAUGAGCCAGCUUGAGCCAAAGAUGCACUGUCUUAGAGCGGACCCUAGAGCCCCUGUCAAGCUUUCAGACAAUGAAGCACCGACUGACACUUUGACUGCAACCUCAUGAAAGACCCUGGGCCAAAACCACCCAGCUAAGCUGCCCCCAGAUUCCUGACCCUCAGAACUUAUGAGAUCAUAAAUGUUUGGAGCUUUAACUUUAAACACACAUAUUCACAUACACAAUAACAAAAUUCCUAAGACUAAUUUCUGAGAUAAAGGGCCCAAAACAGCCCCUCAGAGAUUUGUCCUAGCAGGGAGUCUAGUCUGAACACCAAAACAAUGUUUUAUAAUCAUGUUUUGUUGGCUCAUUUUCCAGUGUCAGCAACCCCCAAAAUGGGUUCAAGAAUUAACACACCCUUAGAGCUAGGUUCACUGGUAUGCACCCUGCAGUCCCAGCUACUCAGGAGGCUGAGGCAGAAGGACUGCUUGAGCCUAAGAGUUCUGGGCUGUAGUGUGCAAUGAUCAUGCCUGUGAAUAGCCACUGCACUCCAGCCUGGGCAACAUAGUGAGAUCAUGUCUCAAAAAAAGAAUUAACACAUCCCUCCCUUCCUGCAGCCUUCCUGGAUCUAAUCAGAAGGGGAAUGGCAAGUGCUGGGGCAGUGUGGGUGUGCUUUUUUAACCAUAAACUCAUUGUUAGGUGCUGGCACCUCAUAUCAGAUCAUUCUGAUCCUGAGCUAUUCACCAAGCUUGUAUUUAAGUGCCUUACACCUACAUGCUUUCUACCCAUAAUAAAGACAGCUUCCAUUGAUCUCCAGUCUCUAGGAGCCUCUCAGAGUUUGCAAGGAACCUGGGUUGGCCUCUGUGGUUUGUGAGUAUGACAUUCAUGCUAUUUACACUAUUGGGCCAUUGCCUCUAUCCUACUCUGUUGAGAUUCCUAGGAAUUUACACAAACAGGUGUCAAAGAUGAACCAUGUUUGGCCCCAAAGAAAGCAAGGUAAAUGAAAGAAGAUUCUCAUUAUUCAGACAAGAAACUGGAGGACCAACCAUUCCAGUUUGGCCUGGACUCUCCUUGUUUUAGCACUGAAAGACCCAUGUCCCAGGUAACCCCUCAGUCCCAGGAAAACCUGAAUGGUUGGUCACCUAUUUAAAAGGUUGGCCCAAGACUUUUGUUGUUGUUUUAAUUUUAAAUUGGUUGCCAAUAUGUAAAUAUCUGAGGAUUUUACAGAAACAUCCAGAUUUCUGGCUUCUCUUUAAAAAUAGAAAUAUCUGACACAACUGGACCCUCUUGCAUGGCAACUAUAAGCGGGAACUGAGUCGCAGCUGCCCCAUUAGGGAGCUAAUCCUCAUCUGUAAAUACUGAAAAAGCAACUAACCUGGAGGGAACAAGGUUCUCAACUUUGUGGAAGCUGAGAUGAUGCCCUUUUCAUGGCUCAUCAUUUUAAUAUUGGCACAUGCCUGGCCCAUAAUAAGCAUUCAAGUAGCACUGACUGACUAACUGAAUGAAUGAAUAAAUGAAUUAAUGCUCAAAUGAAUAAAUAAAUGGUGCAAAAGGUGGUGGCCUUUUUUUUUUCAUUAGGGCUAUGAUGGCUGCUGAAGAAGGUGUAGGCUUUGAGGUUGGGAAGAUAUGAGUUCAAACCCUAGUUUUUAAUCCCAGCUCUGCCUUCCCUUGCCAGAUGUCUUUGAACAAGCAGUUCCUCUGAGCUUUGGUAUCCAUGUUGGCCUAACAGAAAUAAUACUAUCUAUGCCUCAUAGGGAAGCUGUGAAGAUUAUAUGAGAAAAUGUUCAAGGCCUCAUACAAAGGAGGUACCCAAUAAAGAGUAGCUAAUUAAAAAGUCGUUCACAAGGGAAGUCGGACACAGUGGUCAUGCCUGUAAUCUCAGCACUCUGUGAGACCAAGGUGAGCAGAUUGCUUCAGCUCAGGAGUUCGAGACCAAGCUGGGCAACAUGGCAAAACCCCGUCUCUACUAAAAAC
rnacentral:lncRNA from 1 species